rnacentral:rRNA from 1 species
UGGGGAAUUUUGGACAAUGGGCGAAAGCCUGAUCCAGCAAUGCCGCGUGUGUGAAGAAGGCCUUCGGGUUGUAAAGCACUUUUGUCCGGAAAGAAAUCCUUGGCUCUAAUACAGUCGGGGGAUGACGGUACCGGAAGAAUAAGCGCCGGCUAACUACGUGCCAGCAGCCGCGGUAAUACGUAGGGUGCAAGCGUUAAUCGGAAUUACUGGGCGUAAAGCGUGCGCAGGCGGUUUGCUAAGACCGAUGUGAAAUCCCCGGGCUCAACCUGGGAACUGCAUUGGUGACUGGCAGGCUAGAGUAGUGCAGAGGGGGGUAGAAUUCCACGUGUAGCAGUGAAAUGCGUAGAGAUGUGGAGGAAUACCGAUGGCGAAGGCAGCCCCCUGGGCCAAUACUGACGCUCAUGCACGAAAGCGUGGGGAGCAAACAGGAUUAGAUACCCUGGUAGUCCACGCCCUAAAACGAUGUCAACUAGUUGUUGGGGAUUCAUUUCCUAGUAACGUAGCUAACGCGUGAAGUUGACCGCCUGGGGAGUACGGUCGCAAGAUUAAAACUCAAAUGAAUUGACGGGGUCAUAGCU